rnacentral:lncRNA from 1 species
GGGAAUUGGCAUGAUUGAGUGACGCACUCUCCAUGUUUCUUCAUCCCUUCCAGAGAGCCGAGUUCUGUCACCACAGACAUUGGCAGUGGCACUUGCAUGCCCCUGGCAAGCAGUCUAUCCUGAGGUGGAGGAAGUUGCCCUUGAGUUCUGGCUGGUAACCAGCACAGUAUACCCUUUAAGCGUUCCAGAAGGAUUUUGAGAUCCUUUCCUAAAUCAAAGGUGGAAUAUUUGGGGAUUUGGAAAAUUGAGCAUUUUUUUCCCCACUUGCUUGACUGUAAUGCUAACAUGCUCUCUCUGCUCCAACCUGGAGAAGCCAGUCUCUCAGAAGAACCAGUUGUGUUACUUUGCUGUGAGAUGCCUGCCCUAAGAGAGGAGCAGAAGGUCGGAACGGGUCCUCUAAUGUGAUAAUUAGGUGGACUGGAAGCAGCUGGCUCACUUUGCAGGAUGUUGGAACCCCCAGACUGCUGUAGAUAUGGAAAGAAGACACUGAGUGGUGGG